rnacentral:rRNA from 1 species
AACCUGCCCCAGACUCUGGGAUAACUUCGGGAAACCGUGGCUAAUACCGGAUAUGACACUAGGUCGCAUGGCCAUGGUGUGGAAAGUUUUUCGGUCUGGGAUGGACUCGCGGCCUAUCAGCUUGUUGGUGAGGUAGUGGCUCACCAAGGCGACGACGGGUAGCCGGUCUGAGAGGGCGACCGGCCACACUGGGACUGAGACACGGCCCAGACUCCUACGGGAGGCAGCAGUGGGGAAUAUUGCACAAUGGGCGGAAGCCUGAUGCAGCGACGCCGCGUGAGGGAUGAAGGCCUUCGGGUUGUAAACCUCUUUCAGCAGGGAAGAAGCGAAAGUGACGGUACCUGCAGAAGAAGCACCGGCUAAUUACGUGCCAGCAGCCGCGGUAAUACGUAGGGUGCGAGCGUUGUCCGGAAUUAUUGGGCGUAAAGAGCUUGUAGGCGGUUUGUCGCGUCUGCUGUGAAAAUCCGGGGCUCAACCCCGGACUCGCAGUGCG